UGCCGGAUAGCUCAGCUGGAAGAGCGCCUGACUCUGGAUCAGGAGGUCCUAGGUUCGAACCCUAGUCCGGCAGCCA
rnacentral:tRNA from 1 species